CCCUUAGAUGUUCUGGGCCGCACGCGUGCUACACUGAGUAAAUCAAUGGGUAAGGGAACACGAAAGUGCAACCUAAUCUUGAAAUUUGCUCGUGAUGGGGAUCGACGGUUGCAAUUUUCCGUCGUGAACGAGGAAUACCUUGUAGGCGCGUGUCAUCAUCACGCGCCGAAUACGUCCCUGCCCUUUGUACACACCGCCCGUCGCUCCUACCGAUUGAAUGCUCAGGUGAGCCAUUCGGACUUUCAUCAUGCUGGUUUCCAGUUUUGAUGAAGGAAAGUCUUGCGAACCUUAUCAUUUAGAGGAAGGAGAAGUCGUAACA
rnacentral:rRNA from 1 species